GUGUGACUGCGUACCUUUUGUAUAAUGGGUCAGCGACUUAUAUUCUGUAGCAAGGUUAACCGCAUAGGGGAGCCGAAGGGAAACCGAGUCUUAAUUGGGCGUUAAGUUGCAGGGUAUAGACCCGAAACCCGGUGAUCUAGCCAUGGGCAGGUUGAAGGUUGGGUAACACUAACUGGAGGACCGAACCGACUAAUGUUGAAAAAUUAGCGGAUGACCUGUGGCUGGGGGUGAAAGGCCAAUCAAACCGGGAGAUAGCUGGUUCUCCCCGAAAGCUAUUUAGGUAGCGCCUCGUGAAUUCAUCUCCGGGGGUAGAGCACUGUUUCGGCCAGGGGGCCAUCCCGGCUUACCAAUCCGAUGCAAACUGCGAAUACCGGAGAAUGUUAUCACGGGAGACACACGGCGGGUGCUAACGUCCGUCGUGAAGAGGGAAACAACCCAGACCGCCAGCUAAGGUCCCAAAGUCAUGGUUAAGUGGGAAACGAUGUGGGAAGGCCCAGACAGCCAGGAUGUUGGCUUAGAAGCAGCCAUCAUUUAAAGAAAGCGUAAUAGCUCACUGGUCGAGUCGGCCUGCGCGGAAGAUGUAACGGGGCUAAACCAUGCACCGAAGCUGCGGCAGCGACACUGAUGUGUUGUUGGGUAGGGGAGCGUUCUGUAAGCCGUUGAAGGUGUGUCGUGAGGCAUGCUGGAGGUAUCAGAAGUGCGAAUGCUGACAUAAGUAACGAUAAAGCGGGUGAAAAGCCCGCUCGCCGGAAGACCAAGGGUUCCUGUCCAACGUUAAUCGGGGCAGGGUGAGUCGACCCCUAAGGCGAGGCCGAAAGGCGUAGUCGAUGGGAAACGGGUUAAUAUUCCCGUACUUGGUGUUACUGCGAAGGGGGGACGGAGAAGGCUAUGUUGGCCGGGCGACGGUUGUCCCGGUUUAAGCGUGUAGGUGUGUGUUCCAGGUAAAUCCGGUU
rnacentral:rRNA from 1 species